rnacentral:piRNA from 1 species
UGAUCUUGGGGAUUUCCGAUCA